CGUACAAGUAUAGGCUCGCACCUGCGCGUGCACACAAGCAGUACUCACAGACGAGCGUUGGCUCUGGGCUGCCAGAAGCAAUGUCGCGCACCGCGGAGACCGUGGAGGAGCUAGCGCGGCGCUACUACCUUACGACAGCGCUUGUGGAGGAAGCGGGGCGUCUCUUUGAUACUUACGCUGGAAGCGGAGAUGCGCCGCCGGCGAACAGUAACGAGGAGCCCUUUAUCACGGUGCCUGGGCUGCAGCGGCUUAUGGUGAAGAUGGGCACCCCCAUCUCGCAGCAUGGCGUGGUAGAGCUACUCCGCUUCUUUGGCAGCGCCGCUGCUGUCGCUGUCAAGGAAGUUGAACUGUCGGACGGUCCUGCCAACGGCCAACAGUCUCCAGCGGUAAAGGGGGCUCGUUCUCCCGUAGCGGCGACGGCACCUGCAAGUCAGCAGCCUUCAUCACGCCAGAGAAAAAAGAAAAGCGGUGCAACGGCGCAGAAGACUGGCGCCAAAGAUGCCUUUGAAUCCUCGACGAAGCUUGGCGCAGACCACAGCGCAGGCUGUGGAGCCAGUAGUGGCACUGCAUCUGCAAACUCAUCGCCGUUGGCGGCGCCGCUACAUGUCGCGGCACUUCCCUCCGCGGUCACAGCGGAGGGCAUGAAUUUUUCCGCUUUUGUGUACUUUCUUUUGGUGUACCCUGAACUGUCUCAGCGACCCUCGGGGAUGGCGGCAACCGCAUCAACGACCAACGCCGCCACACGGAGCGGUCUCCAUGUCAGUAUUCCAGAGCUCUUUGCGACGAUCGACGCUGACGCAGAUGGGGUAUGGAGCGUGCACGACCUACGCCACGCUGCCGAGGUGUGCGUAAGGGAAGAUGAUGGACUCCUUCAGGAAGACCCCGAUCUGUGCCACUUGGCAGAAAUGCACCCGGCGGAGCUCGCGGUCGCCCUUCACGAGCUGGACGUUGAUGGGGACGGCGUUGUGACUUUAGACGAUGUACGGCAGGCACUGUAUUACUGAACACGAGCAGGACCAGAGCGGUGGAGCCGCUGCGCCUCAUGGCAGCGCUGCUCAAGUCUUGUGUGUGCGUAUGUGUGUGGGGGGAAGCAGGAAGGUGGGGAGGAUUGCGAUGGUGGCGCGGCUCAUUUUUUGCUCCCCCCCCCUACGGGCCUGCCUCCCUACACACACACACAUGCACGUAUACCUCUAUCCUUCCACUAUCACUCCUCUCCGACAUGCAGAAG
rnacentral:misc_RNA from 1 species